AGUUCAUGGUAUGGACAUUUUCAUAGCAAAUCUUUAAAUUUUUUCCAUACUUCAUACAAUGAUUCCCCCUCUUGUUGGCCAAAACUAGUAAUGUCCAUUCUAAAUUU